rnacentral:lncRNA from 1 species
AUUGAUUGGCCCAGGCUUCGUUGACUGCUUCCACAUAUACCUUGACCCCUGACUAAGCCUGCCAACGCAUUAAAUGAAACUCAGCGUUUCAUCCACACUCCCUCACUUCGAUUCCAUGCUGUGACAUUUUGGAUUUUAUUUUCUCUUUCAGCGCAUUUUUGAAUUGUAACCCGGUUCGAUUCUCUGCUCAGCCACAUUUUCAAAUGUUC